AUUGAACGCUGGCGGCAGGCCUAACACAUGCGAGUCGAGCGGGGUUUUCGGACCUAGCGGCGGACGGGUGAGUAAUGCGUAGGAAGCUGCCCGAUAGAGGGGGAUACCAGUUGGAAACGACUGUUAAUACCGCAUAAUGUCUACGGACCAAAGUGUGGGACCUUCGGGCCACAUGCUAUCGGAUGCGCCUACGUGGGAUUAGCUAGUUGGUGAGGUAAUGGCUCACCAAGGCGACGAUCUCUAGCUGGUUUGAGAGGAUGAUCAGCCACACUGGAACUGAGACACGGUCCAGACUCCUACGGGAGGCAGCAGUGGGGAAUAUUGGACAAUGGGCGCAAGCCUGAUCCAGCCAUGCCGCGUGUGUGAAGAAGGCCUUCGGGUUGUAAAGCACUUUCAGCGAGGAGGAAGGGUGGUGUGUUAAUAGCACAUCAUUUUGACGUUACUCGCAGAAGGAGCACCGGCUAACUCUGUGCCAGCCGCCGCGGUAA
rnacentral:rRNA from 1 species